CCCAGCCCCAUUGCUGCCCCAUAGAGGUAACACAGCCCCAUUGCUGCCCCAUAGAGGUAACCCAGCCCCAUUGCUGCCCCAUAGAUGGGCUGGAGCCCCAUUGAGGUGACAUAGGGCCCCAUUGAGGUCGCAUAGGACCCCAUAGAGGUAACAUAGGACCCCAUUGCUGCCCCAUAGAGAUAACCCAGCCCCAUUGCUGCCCCAUAGAGAUAACACAGCCCCAUUGGUGCCCCAUAGAUGAGCUGGAGCCCCAUUGGGGUGACGUAGGACCCCAUAGGGGUAACAUAGGACCCCAUUGCUGCCCCAUAGAGAUAACCCAGCCCCAUUGCUGCCCCAUAGAGGUAACCCAGCCCCAUUGCUGCCCCAUAGAGGUAACCCAGCCCCAUUGCUGCCCCAUAGAGGUAACAUAGGACCCCAUUGAGGUGACAUAGGACCCCAUAGAGAUAACACAGCCCCAUUGCUGCCCCAUAGAGGUAACCCAGCCCCAUUGCUGCCCCAUAGAUGAGCUGGAGCCCCAUUGGGGUGACAUAGGACCCCAUAGAGGUGACAUAGGACUCCAUUGUUGCCCUAUAGAGGUAACCCAGCCCCAUUGCUGCCCCAUAGAUGGGCUGGAGCCCCAUUGGGGUAACAUAGGACCCCAUAGAGGUGACAUAGGACCCCAUUGAGAUGACAUAGGGCCCCAUUGAGGUGAUAUAGGACCCCAUAGAAAUAACAUAGGACCCCAUUGCUGCCCCAUAGAGGUAACAUAGGACCCCAUUGCUGCCCCAUAGAUGAGCUGGAGCCCCAUUGAGGUAACAUAGGACCCCAUUGAGAUGACAUAGGACCCCAUAGAGAUGGCAUACGACCCCAUAGAGAUGACUUAGGACCCCAUAGAGAUAACCCAGCCCCAUUGCUGCCC